CAGACGUGUUUAUAGCGACCCUAAAAUAAUGGAGAAAGACAGACAAGAAACUAUAAACAGACUCCUAGCGAAACAAAACGCAGACCUUACAUACCAUAACAAGAACAGAUCACCUCCAAGCACAUAUGCGGAAGGAGAUAUCAUAAAUUGUUGCGAAAAAUUUUAAUACAACAGUAGUAACUAAAUCAGGUAGAGUAGUUCAUAAAAGUAACAUUAAAUAGAAAUGCAUGAGUAAAUAGGAAUUUAAGCACAUAAAAUUUCUUCUUUAAUAGGAAAAAUGAAUACGGGGGAAAUCAUGACAAUCAUGCUGGUAUAGGGUGAUUUUUUAAGAGCUUGAUAACUUUUUUUAAAAAAAAAACGCAUAAAAUUUGCAAAAUCUCAUCGGUUCUUUAUUUGAAACGUUAGAUUGGUUCAUGACAUUUACUUUUUGAAGAUAAUUUCAUUUAAAUGUUGACCGCGGCUGCGUCUUAGGUGGUCCAUUCCGAAAGUCCAAUUUUGGGCAACUUUUUCGAGCAUUUCGGCCGGAAUAGCCCGAAUUUCUUCGGAAAUGUUGUCUUCCAAAGCUGGAAUAGUUGCUGGCUUAUUUCUGUAGACUUUAGACUUGACGUAGCCCCACAAAAAAUAGUCUAAAGGCGUUAAAUCGCAUGAUCUUGGUGGCCAACUUACGGGUCCAUUUCUUGAGAUGAAUUGUUGUCCGAAGUUUUCCCUCAAAAUGGCCAUAGAAUCGCGAGCUGUGUGGCAUGUAGCGCCAUCUUGUUGAAACCACAUGUCAACCAAGUUCAGUUCUUCCAUUUUUGGCAACAAAAAGUUUGUUAGCAUCGAACGAUAGCGAUCGCCAUUCACCGUAACGUUGCGUCCAACAGCAUCUUUGAAAAAAUACGGUCCAAUGAUUCCACCAGCGUACAAACCACACCAAACAGUGCAUUUUUCGGGAUGCAUGGGCAGUUCUUGAACGGCUUCUGGUUGCUCUUCACCCCAAAUGCGGCAAUUUUGCUUAUUUACGUAGCCAUUCAACCAGAAAUGAGCCUCAUCGCUGAACAAAACACGCGCGCGAAACACAUUUCGAACCGAACACUGAUUUUGGUAAUAAAAUUCAAUGAUUUGCAAGCGUUGCUCGUUAGUAAGUCUAUUCAUGAUGAAAUGUCAAAGCAUACUGAGCAUCUUUCUCUUUGACACCAUG